GACGAACGCUGGCGGCGUGCUUAACACAUGCAAGUCGAACGGAAAGGCCCUGCUUUUGUGGGGUGCUCGAGUGGCGAACGGGUGAGUAACACGUGAGUGACCUGCCCUUGACUUUGGGAUAACUUCAGGAAACUGGGGCUAAUACCGGAUAGGAGCUCCUGCUGCAUGGUGGGGGUUGGAAAGUUUCGGCGGUUGGGGAUGGACUCGCGGCUUAUCAGCUUGUUGGUGGGGUAGUGGCUUACCAAGGCUUUGACGGGUAGCCGGCCUGAGAGGGUGACCGGCCACAUUGGGACUGAGAUACGGCCCAGACUCCUACGGGAGGCAGCAGUGGGGAAUAUUGCACAAUGGGCGGAAGCCUGAUGCAGCAACGCCGCGUGCGGGAUGACGGCCUUCGGGUUGUAAACCGCUUUCGCUUGUGACGAAGCGUGAGUGACGGUAAUGGGUAAAGAAGCACCGGCUAACUACGUG
rnacentral:rRNA from 1 species